GAUGAACGCUGAUAGAAUGCUUAACACAUGCAAGUCUACUUGAAUUUGGGUUUUUUAACUUAGAUUUGGGUGGCGGACGGGUGAGUAACGCGUAAAGAACUUGCCUCACAGCUAGGGACAACAUUUGGAAACGAAUGCUAAUACCUGAUAUUAUGAUUAUAAGGCAUCUUAGAAUUAUGAAAGCUAUAUGCGCUGUGAGAGAGCUUUGCGUCCCAUUAGCUAGUUGGAGAGGUAACGGCUCACCAAGGCGAUGAUGGGUAGCCGGCCUGAGAGGGUGAACGGCCACAAGGGGACUGAGACACGGCCCUUACUCCUACGGGAGGCAGCAGUGGGGAAUAUUGGACAAUGGACCAAGAGUCUGAUCCAGCAAUUCUGUGUGCACGAUGACGUUUUUCGGAAUGUAAAGUGCUUUCAGUUGGGAAGAAAAAAAUGACGGUACCAACAGAAGAAGUGACGGCUAAAUACGUG
rnacentral:rRNA from 1 species